rnacentral:rRNA from 1 species
AACGAACGCUGGCGGCAGGCCUAACACAUGCAAGUCGAACGGUAACGCGGGGCAACCUGGCGACGAGUGGCGAACGGGUGAGUAAUGUAUCGGAACGUGCCCAGUUGUGGGGGAUAACUGCUCGAAAGAGCAGCUAAUACCGCAUACGACCUGAGGGUGAAAGCGGGGGAUCGCAAGACCUCGCGCAAUUGGAGCGGCCGAUAUCAGAUUAGGUAGUUGGGGGGGUAAAGGCUCACCAAGCCAACGAUCUGUAGCUGGUCUGAGAGGACGACCCGCCAAACUGGGACUGAGACACGGCCCAGACUCCUACGGGAGGCAGCAGUGGGGAAUUUUGGACAGUGGACGCAAGUCUGAUCCGGCCAUGCCGCGUGCGGGAAGAAGGCCUUCGGGUUGUAAACCGCUUUUGUCAGGGAAGAAACGCUCUGGGUUAAUACCUCGGGGUAAUGACGGUACCUGAAGAAUAAGCACCGGCUAACUACGUGCCAGCAGCCGCCGUAAAAC